AUUGAACGCUGGCGGCAGGCCUAACACAUGCAAGUCGAGCGGUAGAGAGGUGCUUGCAUCUCUUGAGAGCGGCGGACGGGUGAGUAAUGCCUAGGAAUCUGCCUAGUGGUGGGGGAUAACGUUCGGAAACGGACGCUAAUACCGCAUACGUCCUACGGGAGAAAGCGGGGGAUCUUCGGACCUCGCGCCAUUAGAUGAGCCUAGGUCGGAUUAGCUAGUUGGUGAGGUAAUGGCUCACCAAGGCGACGAUCCGUAACUGGUCUGAGAGGAUGAUCAGUCACACUGGAACUGAGACACGGUCCAGACUCCUACGGGAGGCAGCAGUGGGGAAUUUUGGACAAUGGGCGCAAGCCUGAUCCAGCAAUGCCGCGUGCAGGAUGAAGGCC
rnacentral:rRNA from 1 species